rnacentral:misc_RNA from 1 species
GAUGAAGAACGCAGCGAAAUGCGAUAAGUAAUGCGAAUUGCAGAAUUCAGUGAGUCAUCGAAUCUUUGAACGCACAUUGCGCCCUGUGGUAUUCCGCAGGGCAUGCCUGUUCGAGCGUCAUUUCAACCCUCAAGCUCUGCUUGGUGUUGGGCCCUGCCCGCUGCGGCCGGCCCUAAAGACAGUGGCGGUGCCGCCUGGCCCUGAGCGUAGUACAUCUCUCGCUCCAGUGCCCGGUGGUAGCCUGCCAGAACCCCAACUCUCUUGGUUGACCUCGGAUCAGGUAGGGAUACCCGCUGAACUUAAGCAUAUCAAUAAGCGGAGGA